rnacentral:rRNA from 1 species
UACGGGGGGGGCUAGCGUUGUUCGGAAUUACUGGGCGUAAAGCGCACGUAGGCGGCUUUGCAAGUUAGAGGUGAAAGCCCGGGGCUCAACUCCGGAAUUGCCUUUAAAACUGCAUCGCUAGAAUUGUGGAGAGGUAAGUGGAAUUCCGAGUGUAGAGGUGAAAUUCGUAGAUAUUCGGAAGAACACCAGUGGCGAAGGCGACUUACUGGACACAUAUUGACGCUGAGGUGCGAAAGCGUGGGGAGCAAACAGG